GCCGGAGUGGCGGAAUGGCAGACGCGCACGACUCAAAAUCGUGUGGGUACCCCCCGUGAGGGUUCAAGUCCCUCCUCCGGCA
rnacentral:tRNA from 1 species